GACGAACGCUGGCGGCGUGCUUAACACAUGCAAGUCGAGCGGAAAGGCCCUUUCGGGGGUACUCGAGCGGCGAACGGGUGAGUAACACGUGAGUAAUCUGCCCUUGGCUUUGGGAUAACCACCGGAAACGGUGGCUAAUACCGGAUAUGACGCGCCCCGGCCUCGGGGUGUGUGGAAAGUUUUUUCGGCCCGGGAUGUGCUCGCGGCCUAUCAGCUUGUUGGUGGGGUAAUGGCCUACCAAGGCUUCGACGGGUAGCCGGCCUGAGAGGGUGACCGGCCAUACUGGGACUGAGACACGGCCCAGACUCCUACGGGAGGCAGCAGUGGGGAAUAUUGGACAAUGGGCGGAAGCCUGAUCCAGCAACGCCGCGUGAGGGAUGACGGCCUUCGGGUUGUAAACCUCUUUCAGUACCGACGAAGCGCCGAUGAUGGUGGUGACGGUAGGUACAGAAGAAGCACCGGCCAACUACGUGCCAGCCGCCGCAGUAA
rnacentral:rRNA from 1 species